rnacentral:rRNA from 1 species
AUUGAACGCUAGCGGCAUGCUUUACACAUGCAAGUCGAACGAGUGGCGGACGGGUGAGUAAUAUAUCGGAACGUGCCCAGUAGCGGGGGAUAACUACUCGAAAGAGUGGCUAAUCCCGCAUACUAUUGGAUCCGCCGAUAUCGGAUUAGCUAGUAGGUGGGGUAAUGGCUCAACUAGUCGACGCUCCCUAGCUGGUCUGCGAGGAUGAUCAGCCACACUGGGACUGAGACACGGCCCAGACUCCUACGGUAGGCAGAAGUGGGGAAUAUUGCACAAUGGGCGCAAGCCUGAUGCAGCCAUGCCGCGUGUAUGAAGAAGGCCCUAGGGUUGUAAAGUACUUUCAGUAGGGAGGCGUUACCGACAGAAGAAGCACCGGCUAACUCCGUGCCAGCAGCCGCGGUAAUAC